rnacentral:rRNA from 1 species
UACCAGCACCCCGAGUGGUCGGGACGUUUUAUUGGGCCUAAAGCAUCCGUAGCCGGUUCUACAAGUCUUCCGUUAAAUCCAACUGCUUAACAGGUGGGCUGCGGAAGAUACUAUAGAGCUAGGAGGCGGGAGAGGCAAGCGGUACUCGAUGGGUAGGGGUAAAAUCCGUUGAUCCAUUGAAGACCACCAGUGGCGAAGGCGGCUGCC